rnacentral:rRNA from 1 species
CCCUUAGAUGUUCUGGGCAGCACGCGCGCUACAAUGGUCUUCGCAAACGGAUACAUUCUCGAAGGAGAAUGCCAAUCUUGGAAUCUAUGCCUUGGUCGGGACAGUUGCUUGCAAUUUUUCGACUUGAACCAGGAAUUCCUUGUAAUCGUGAUUCAUCACAUCACGAUGAAUACGUCCCUGCCCUUUGUACACACCGCCCGUCGCUCCUACCGAUCGAAGAGUUAGGUGAAUUGUUUUGAUCGAUAAGAUUUGACUAUGGUCAACUCUCGUUGUGAAAUUCUGUGAAUCUGACUGUUUAGAGGAAGGAAAAGUCGUAACA